UAGUAAAUCACAAAAAUUAACAAUUAACAAGCAUGAUUCUCUUCUUUAACGAUUUUCUUUGUAGAAUCAUUGAAUCAUGCGAUAGUAAUCAUAGAAACAAAUGAUAAGCAUGAUUCUCUUCUUUAUUGAAUCAUUGAAAACAUGCUUUUACCGAUCUAUACUAUAAUCAUCGAUCGGCUCAUAUUGUUUUGUUUCAAUAAUAGAAAAUAAGUACUAUGAACCAUGAGUCGAUAAGUAAACAUGGUUCUUAAAAAAAAAUGUAAGAAUCUCUAUAUCUACCUUUUAGAGCGUGCUGAUAACGUGUUAUAACCAGAGAAAGAGAUAGAAGAAAUGAGUGUGUUAUUCCAUUGAGAUAAAGUGUUAUUUAUAUAGAAGUACAAGGAAAGGGUAAAACCCUAAAAACAUCUAGAUGAUGGGCUUAGAUGAUGGGCCUUAUAAUGGGCAUUCAUCUUUAUUCAUAACAAUUAAUAAUUUAUCCACAUAAUGCAUUUAGAAUCGAAAUGUUGAAUGGAUCAAAUUGCUCAUUCUGUUUAGAAACACUAUAGCAGGCUUUUAAA
rnacentral:sRNA from 1 species